rnacentral:sRNA from 1 species
CACACCCUUUCUCUUUCAUCCCAUACACACCUGUGCACCUGUGAGACAGAUGUUUUCUAGGGGGGGAAGGAACUUUAUUGGAACCUUCUUUUCUUGGAACCUCUGUCUACUUAAUCUAUAUAAACUCAAUUUAUUUUAAAAUGAAUGUAAUGGAUGUAACACAUCUAAUACUAAGUUUCAACAACGGAUCUCUUGGCUCUCGCAUCGAUGAAGAACGCAGCGAAAUGCGAUAAGUAAUGUGAAUUGCAGAAUUCAGUGAAUCAUCGAAUCUUUGAACGCACCUUGCGCUCCUUGGUAUUCCUUGGAGCAUGCCUGUUUGAGUAUCAUGAAAUCUUCAAAGUCAAACCUUUUGUUAACUCAAUUGGUUCUGCUUUGGUAUUGGAGGUCUAUUGCAGCUUCACACCUGCUCCUCUUUGUGCAUUAGCUGGAUCUCAGUGUUAUGCUUGGUUCCACUCAGCGUGAUAAGUUAUCUAUCGCUGAGGACACCCUGUUAAAAAGGGGUGGCCAAGGUAAAUGCAGAUGAACG